GGGAUUUAGCUCAAUGGCAGAACGUUUGUCUAGCAUACACAAGAACCUGGGUUUGAUCCCCAGCACUCCCC
rnacentral:tRNA from 1 species